UAAGAAAUGUUCCCCGGACCUUGUUAUCUUCAGCUGCCAUUGAUCAGAAGGGAAAAUUGUGUUAACUUCUCUUGAAGGAAAUGAUGGUGUUCUAUUAAGAGGAAGAUGAUAACAAGAAAGGAAGGGAUAAUGGACAAAACAUACAGUGGGGAAACUUUGGCCUGGUCAGCGUAACAUACAAGCUACUCUUCCCACUAAUGUUACCCAUAUAUGGCAAGGACAUGGUUCACUGUGAAGUCUACUUUGAAAAUAAGAGUAUCCAGGUUUGAGAGGUGGUUUACCAUCAUUAAAGGCUACUUUGGUGUUGUUGCUGACUUGUUGCUGAGCUGACAAGUUGCCAACAUUAUGGAGGUUUUGAACCAAUACUGCGAAGGGAAGUCUCAGCUGGUGAUUCUCUGCACAUUCCCUUAUGAGUUCCUCCUUUGGUGGUACAGGUUUUGGUGAGAUUCAAGAUUUGGGUCCUACAUCACAACUUAAGAGUGUCAUAUGUAAA